CAAUGGCAUAAGCGUGCUUAACUGCGAGACCGACAAGUCGAGCAGGUGCGAAAGCAGGUCAUAGUGAUCCGGUGGUUCUGUAUGGAAGGGCCAUCGCUCAACGGAUAAAAGGUACUCUGGGGAUAACAGGCUGAUACCGCCCAAGAGUUCAUAUCGACGGCGGUGUUUGGCACCUCGAUGUCGGCUCAUCUCAUCCUGGGGCUGUAGCCGGUCCCAAGGGUAUGGCUGUUCGCCAUUUAAAGAGGUACGUGAGCUGGGUUUAAAACGUCGUGAGACAGUUUGGUCCCUAUCUGCCGUGGGCGUUGGAUAUUUGAAGGGGGCUGCUCCUAGUACGAGAGGACCGGAGUGGACGAACCUCUGGUGUACCGGUUGUCACGCCAGUGGGACC
rnacentral:rRNA from 1 species